rnacentral:rRNA from 1 species
GCAGUCGAGCGGUAGCACAGAGAGCUUGCUCUCGGGUGACGAGCGGCGGACGGGUGAGUAAUGUCUGGGAAACUGCCUGAUGGAGGGGGAUAACUACUGGAAACGGUAGCUAAUACCGCAUAACGUCGCAAGACCAAAGUGGGGGACCUUCGGGCCUCAUGCCAUCAGAUGUGCCCAGAUGGGAUUAGCUAGUAGGUGGGGUAACGGCUCACCUAGGCGACGAUCCCUAGCUGGUCUGAGAGGAUGACCAGCCACACUGGAACUGAGACACGGUCCAGACUCCUACGGGAGGCAGCAGUGGGGAAUAUUGCACAAUGGGCGCAAGCCUGAUGCAGCCAUGCCGCGUGUGUGAAGAAGGCCUUCGGGUUGUAAAGCACUUUCAGCGGGGAGGAAGGCGAUGAGGUUAAUAACCUUGUCGAUUGACGUUACCCGCAGAAGAAGCACCGGCUAACUCCGUGCCAGCAGCCGCGGUAAUACGGAGGGUGCAAGCGUUAAUCGGAAUUACUGGGCGUAAAGCGCACGCAGGCGGUCUGUCAAGUCGGAUGUGAAAUCCCCGGGCUCAACCUGGGAACUGCAUUCGAAACUGGCAGGCUAGAGUCUUGUAGAGGGGGGUAGAAUUCCAGGUGUAGCGGUGAAAUGCGUAGAGAUCUGGAGGAAUACCGGUGGCGAAGGCGGCCCCCUGGACAAAGACUGACGCUCAGGUGCGAAAGCGUGGGGAGCAAACAGGAUUAGAUACCCUGGUAGUCCACGCUGUAAACGAUGUCGAUUUGGAGGUUGUGCCCUUGAGGCGUGGCUUCCGGAGCUAACGCGUUAAAUCGACCGCCUGGGGAGUACGGCCGCAAGGUUAAAACUCAAAUGAAUUGACGGGGGCCCGCACAAGCGGUGGAGCAUGUGGUUUAAUUCGAUGCAACGCGAAGAACCUUACCUGGUCUUGACAUCCACAGAACUUUCCAGAGAUGGAUUGGUGCCUUCGGGAACUGUGA